rnacentral:sRNA from 1 species
AAUGCACCCCAGGCACUGCCAACGCAGCUUGUACUUGCUCUGUUACCUCUCUUGUGCCUUUUGAAGUGUUCAAGAUGCCACCCAAUGCAGCGGAUCCAUAUGUGUACUACUACGGCAGCCAGACGCUAGCAGCUGGUACAACUUAUAUUGUAGACGUCCAGUGUAAGGAUAAUAACCAAGGCCAAGCUAAGUCUCAGAUACUGUACGUUGAGGUUCAAGCUAAUAAACCUUUUACAAUCAGGAAUUACCCAUCAG